UAAACCGGAGGAAGGUGGGGAUGACGUCAAGUCCUCAUGGCCUUACAUCCCGGGCUACACACGUGCUACAAUGGCAGGUACAGAGGGCUGCAAAGCCGCGAGGUAGAGCGAAUCCCAGAAAACCUGUCUCAGUCCGGAUUGAAGUCUGCAACUCGACUUCAUGAAGGCGGAAUCGCUAGUAACCGCGAAUCAGCAGGUCGCGGUGAAUACGUUCCCGGGCCUU
rnacentral:rRNA from 1 species